AGAAAUUGCAACGCAGCGGUGAACGACCAAAACAAAAAAAAAAUGGAUUUCUGAUAAAGACCAUGACCAUGAUACAAUUAUACAAGGUAGUCUCGUCGGCAAAAGCUGGUACCCUAGUAAUCUUGACAAUGAGUGCGAGUGAAAGGGUCUCAGCGUAGUAGUGUGAGCGAGACGUCAAUGAGAUGUGCAUUAACCUUUAGACGAUGCAAUCAAUAUUUACAUAUUUAGAAGCUAAUAUUAAUGUCUCCUUGACAUGUUUUUGAAAUCUUUUUUUGCUGGUCAUUGGUUGGCAGCACUGGUGUGACGUACGUCACACGUUAGAACUUCGAAUUUUCGAAUGAGCCGAAGAGGCUCUGGUGUUCGAAUCGCAGCGCUCGGCCCGACUGGGAUCGCCAUAAUUCUGUUUUUAAAGGUAGGUUUUUUUGUAUGAAUUGACGCAUCUAUGUAUUGUAUGGUUAGUGCCAUUAUUUUGACUGUUUGACAUACCUAUGUAUUGGUAAGUUAGUGCAAUAAUUCUGUUUUUAAGUAUGGUCAUGCAUGUUUCUAAAAAGUCGAUAAUUUAAGAAAUGUCAUCGAUAUUUUUGCAGGUCUGUCGCAAUUUUGUCAUUUUUAAAAUAUCACUUUAACGAUAUGUUCUGCUAAGUAAGAUCAAAAAAAGAAACAACAAUAAUAUACGAAAACAAUUUGUGACGCACCAUAUUACGCCUCAAUAAAUAUAUAAAUAAUAUAUACCAGAGCCUUUUCACUCAGUCACUCGAAAACAUACGGUCACUCAGAUAGAGCCAGCUGUGCCGAGUUAACAGCGCAUGAGCAACGUAUGUAUACAGAACCAAUCGAGUUAAACAGCGCAUGCGCAACGUAAGCAGCACCAAUCGAGUAACAGCGCAUGUGCAAUGUAAGCAGCGCCAAUCGAGUUAACAGCGCAUGUGCAAAUUUAGGCGAAAUUAAAACAAAGCGAGUUAGCAGAGCCAAGACCUUGACCUAAAUAAAAGCGAGAGUAAGAGGAUUAGAAUCCAGUGGUGCGUAGACCUUUGCUCGCGAGUGUCAAGAAAAGUGAAGUUGUCUUUUCCAAAAACUGCAAAGUGCAAAUAACGACCACGAAUUUCACCCCGCAGCCAAGGCAUACUCUGCAGGUACGUUCAAGCUUGAUGCUUGAUACUUCCCAAUUGUGUUUCGUGUCAUGCCAAGACCGUGACUGCAAGACAUUCCUGUAGAUCGCUAGAUGAAUCUUCUUGUAGAAAGCUUCUUGCAAUGAGUUUGGUGUACGCGCCCUCUUAGCGCAACGCGUAAUUUCCCUAACGCCUACUUUUCUCAAAAAACUGCAAAUUUACGUAAACAAGUGAAAUUUUGUGUAUCAUGCGUCAUUUGUUUUGUGAGUGCUGUACGAGAAAGUUAAUUUUUUCCUGCGCGUCUUUUAUAAAACAAUCAGAGUUCUGAGGACCACGAAAGAGAUAUGUUGGAUGAUAAAAAUAGAAACUACAAUGCAUUAUCCUGGGUGAAGAAUAUAGAAAACGGCGAAAUAGAUAAAUUUUUUCUUUUAGCUAUUAGAUUAUUUAGUUAUAAGUAUACGCGUAUACGGCAAACUGAAAGGAUAAAUUCUUUUCUCAUCUUGUGUCUAGACAAGACGUGAGUGGAAGAAAACUUGUAUAUUGUCUACUACUAAAACACAAUUGGGAAUUGUUUAUACAUUGCUUCCUCCCCGCUGCCCCCCCUUUCGAUCAUAUGCGAUUACGCAUACCUAAUUAGAAUUGUUUUGCAUAAUCCCGUUAGAGUGCGACGACGCACUGUCUUUCGUUGUCUUUCUUUUCGCACAACGCACGGAACUUUACCGUUAGCUGUAGUAGUGUGACUACAUACUACUACAGUCGACGAUGGAAUAGUGUGUAUAGUGUAAUUGGACCAGUGUGAUUACACACAUCAGUGUGAUUACACACUAGCAACCAUUUCACCUACGCCGCGCGUCUCGUUUUUCCUCUCAUCAGCGCAAAGUACAGAAUUCUUUCUUUAGCUGUGGUAGUAUGACUACAAAUUACUACAGUCAACGCUAGAAUAGUGUGUAUAGUGUGACUGUGCCAGUGUGAUUACACGCCAACACCCGUCUCACCUACACCGUACCCCUCAGUUUUCGAUCGUCCGCGCAAGACACAGAACUCUCCAAUUAGAUGUAGUAGCGUGACUACAAACUACUACAGUCAACGCUAGAACAGUGCGUACAGUGUGACUGGGCCAGUGUGAUUACACGCUAGCAACCAUUUCACCCACGCUGCGUUUCUCGUUUUUCUAUCGUUCGCGCGAAACACAGGAUCUUCCCGUUAGCUGAAGUAGUGUGACUACAAACUACUACAGUCAACACCGGAAUAGUGCAACGAAAUCAGUGUGCUUACGCACUGACACCCGCGCCGUACUCCUCGUGUGGUGGUACUGUGUCUAUAUCCGCCCAAAAAACAAUGGCACAUUUCAAUCGACGUUGGACCUGAGGACAAUCCCAGAAGUGAGCAUCCAUCCCGGUGGUCGUUCUCUAAAUACGCUCUCAUAUCACGGUCCGGUUUACGAGUUCAGCGGCAUUACUUUGGGGUGAAUAUAUCGACGUGCGCAUGUGAGUGAUUCUGAUGCUUUGAUCAUCGUUCUAAACGAUUCGGAAAUAAAUUGUCGUCUGUUGUCGGAGUGUAACCCUCCGGCACUUCGAAUUUCAAGAAUACCUCGUGAACCAGGAAAAAAAAGUAAACUUGCAAAAAUUAUACACAACUAUGAAGAUACAAGCGUGCUCACAUAUGGAUCAAGAAGUCGAUGUAAAAUUUCUGGAAUGGGUGAUCGGUUGCACAUCCCCGUAAAAAGUCUUGAACAUGCGCUUUCUGUAUUAGACCAGUGAGUGAGUCUGGUAUCCCCAGCUUCCAACUCGCCUGAACGCUCUCCAGAAAUCAUUUUCCAAAUAAACUUUCUGUUUCAAAUCGGGGCACAUGAAGAAUAUUAUCUACACCGACCUGUCGCCGUACGACAAUGACAGCUUGACUAGACCCAGGAUUGGACGGUUGGCUCCUGCAGCACAUUGUAAUUCAUCUUGUCGACAAGCUCUCGACACCCUUGCCCCAGCUGACUAACAGACAUGCCGGUCCACCGAUGAUAAUAUAAAAAAAGACUCAAGGAUCUUUGUUCUUCACUCUUCGAACCGCUUCUUUCUCUCAUAACGCUUCUUUCUUUCUUUCAUAACGCGAUUCGUGGCCUGCGAAAAUUGUCAGAUUGCGCACUAAGCACAUCGGGUUUGCCGCACUGAAGCACUUCUCUCCAAGGACAUUGGUACUGUCUCUGCAAAAAUUCGUUGCGAAAGACAAAAUCCUCCACAGCGUGUCUGGAAUCUGCACCAUCGAAUCGAAAGUCCGCUUCAACUUCUGUAUCUGGACGCAUGUUGCCAUGGGGAUUCUGUCAGUUCACUGCGUGCGGAUCGUACCCAACUUCAGGACUACUCGGUAUAUACUUCGAACGCGGCAAAGGACAUUGUAUGGUCGGCAAUGGCAUUAGACAUCGAUUUUGGCUGCAACGUGGCGGGUUCAAUCGUCUCUGCGGCCGGAUUACCUCCCGCACCAGCUUCAUCAUCUCCAUGAACGCGUAUCGACGUCAGAAUCCCCUCCUAUAAGUCGCGGCUCUGGUGGAUGACUAUGUUGGCCCGUAUCCGCCGAAUUGCUAGCUGCUGCCGUUCCUACUCAGGUUGCUACUGUUGGUGGGCACUGGAGUCUCUGUGGUUAAGCUCCCGGUUGAAAGGUCUUCUUCUCCAACAGUAUGGGAAUCCUCUGCUUACCUCCUACUAAAUGCUGUAGAUUCCCCGAUGCUCCAUAUGUUUUACAACUCUCAGACAUUUUUACAACUAUCAAUCUACCACUACGGUGAAACUCUGUCGUAAGCCAAUUCACUAAAAUAUAUAUAAUUAUAUAUAUAUAAUAUAAAUAGAAAAUACUACUACAAUAAAUAAAUAAAUACGUACCCUUAGAGAUAAAUAAACGACUCACCACU